AUGGGCUUGCUCAAUCUGGGGCAGACGCGCCAGUUCUGGCGUGGAGAGAGGAGGAAGGUGAGACGGGAGGCCAAGGCAACGGCGAGAUCCACGUCGAGCUGCCAUGGCCAUGACCUGAUCCACGACGAGGUUAAAUGGGGGCGGCUGCUUCCUAAAGGACGACGAAGCUCUCCAAGGAUUGACCCGGCGAAAUACAAGAGCAUCUCAUCUGGAUUUAGCGUUCUGCUAAAGGAGCAAGGAGCUAGGGGAUUUUUCAGGGGAUGGGUGCCUACCAUGCUUGGUUCCAGUGCUCAGGGGGCUUGCAAGUUUGGGUUCUACAAGUUCUUUAAGAAGACCUACUCAGAUAUGGUUGGGCCUGAGAAUGCCGUGAAGUACAUGACCCUAUAA
rnacentral:rRNA from 1 species